UACAGGGGGCUCGAGCGUUAGUCGGAAUCACUGGGCUUAAAGGGUGCGUAGGCGGCUCGCCAAGUGCUUUGUGAAAUCCCACAGCUCAACUGUGGAACAGCAGGGCAAACUGGCGAGCUUGAGGCAGGUAGGGGCCGGAAGAACAGUUGGUGAAGCGGUGAAAUGCGUAGAUAUCAACUGGAAUGCCGAUGGGGAAGCCGUCCGGCUGGGCCUGUCCUGACGCUGAGGCACGAAAGCGUGGGGAGCAAACAGG
rnacentral:rRNA from 1 species